rnacentral:sRNA from 1 species
GAUCACCGGGAACGGCAUCAGGCGGUAGUCGUCCCCGCCCUGGUAGCCGGGCGUAUACACGGCGGCGAUCCCGACGACGGCGCGAUCCGGCGCGCCCGACUGCGCGGCGGCGGACGUCGCCGCCGCUAGGGCCCCCAGGGCCAAAAGGCUACGCGCGGCGUGCGUGCGAAGAGAGAUCAUGGUCCGGACGGGCUCCUAGUCGAUGUCCCGUAUAUACGCGAACGCCGUCGACGCGGAUGUGACGAUGAAGUUAAAAGUUGAGGGACGCGCCGUCGGCGGGCAUCUCGGCGCCGCUCAGGUCGGCUCCCUCCAG